rnacentral:rRNA from 1 species
UACGUAGGGUGCAAGCGUUGUCCGGAAUUAUUGGGCGUAAAGAGCUCGUAGGCGGUCUGUUGCGUCGGCUGUGAAAACCCGGGGCUCAACCCCGGGCCUGCAGCUGAUACGGGCAGACUAGAGUUCGGCAGGGGAGACUGGAAUUCCUGGUGUAGCGGUGAAAUGCGCAGAUAUCAGGAGGAACACCGGUGGCGAAGGCGGGUCUCUGGGCCGAUACUGACGCUGAGGAGCGAAAGCGUGGGGAGCGAACAGG